rnacentral:tRNA from 1 species
GAGGUCUUAGCUUAACUAAAGUGUCUGAGUUGCAUUCAGGAGAUGCGGUUUUAUUCUGCAGGCCUU